rfam:Parcubacteria bacterium GW2011_GWD2_42_14 TT98_C0002, whole genome shotgun sequence.
GCGGGUAUGAUUAAGUGGUAUAAUACGUCCUUGCCAAGGAUGAUUCGGGAGUUCGAUUCUCCCUACCCGCA